rnacentral:rRNA from 1 species
UACGUAGGGUGCGAGCGUUAAUCGGAAUUACUGGGCGUAAAGCGCGCGUAGGUGGUUCAGUAAGUUGGAAGUGAAAUCCCCGGGCUCAACCUGGGAACUGCUUUCAAAACUGGCCAACUAGAAUACGGGAGAGGGGGGUAGAAUUCCAAGUGUAGCGGUGAAAUGCGUAGAGAUUUGGAGGAAUACCAGUGGCGAAGGCGGCCCCCUGGCCCGAUAUUGACGCUGAGGUGCGAAAGCGUGGGGAGCAAACAGG